GAUGAACGCUGGCGGCGUGCCUAAUCCAUGCAAGUCGAGCGCACAGACGAGGAGCUUGCUCCUCUGACGUUAACGGCGGACGGGUGAGUCCCGCGUGGAUAACCUCCCUAUUAGACUGGCAUAACUUCGGGAAACCGCAGCCAAUACCGAAUACUCUAUUGAACCGCAUGGCUCAAUAGUGACUGUCGGCUUUGCUUCUACUUAUAGAUGGCUCCGCGCCGCAUUAGCUAGUUGGUAAGGUAACGGCUUACCAAGGCAACGAUGCGUAGCCGACCUGAGAGGGCGACCGGCCACACUAGAACUGAGCCACGGUCCAGACUCCUACGGGAGGAAGCAGUAGGGAAUCUUCCGCAAUGGGCGAAAGCCUGACGGAGCAACGCUGCGUAAGUGAUGAAGGUCUUCGGAGCGUAAAACUCUGUUAUUAGGGAAGAACAAAUGUGUAAGUAAAUAUGCUCGCCUUGACGGUACCUAAGCAGAAAGCCACGGCUAACUACGUG
rnacentral:rRNA from 1 species